rnacentral:rRNA from 1 species
CAGUAGCCGCGGGAAUACGGAGGGGGCUAGCGUUGUUCGGAAUUACUGGGCGUAAAGCGCACGUAGGCUGCUUUGUAAGUCAGAGGUGAAAGCCCGGGGCUCAACCCCGGAUGUGCCUUUGAGACUGCAGGGCUAGAACGUCGGAGAGGUGAGUGGAAUUCCGAGUGUAGAGGUGAAAUUCGUAGAUAUUCGGAAGAACACCAGUGGCGAAGGCGGCUCACUGGACGACUGUUGACGCUGAGGUGCGAAAGCGUGGGGAGCAAACAGGAUUAGAUACCCCUGUAGUCCCUGUCUCUUAUAC